rnacentral:rRNA from 1 species
GAUGAACGCUGGCGGCGUGCCUAAUACAUGCAAGUCGAGCGAACAGACGAGGUGCUUGCUCCUCUGACGUUAGCGGCGGACGUGUGAGUAACACGUGGACACCCGACCGAUAAGACUGGUAUUACUUCGGGACUCCGGAUCUAAUACCGUAGAAUCUACUGAACCGCAUGGUUCAUUAGUGAAAGGCGGUUGUGCUGUCACUUAUCGCUGGAUCCGCGCCGCAUUAGCUAGUUGUUAAGAUAACGGCUUACCAAGGCAACGAUUCGUAGCCGCCCUGACAGUGUGAGCGGCCACACUGGAACUGCGACACCGCCCAGCCUCCUGCGGGAGGCAGCAGUACGGAACACUACGCAAUGGGCGAAAGCCUGACGGAGCAGCGCCGCCUGAGUGAUGAAGGUCUUCGGAUCGUAAAGCUCUGUUAUUAGGGACGAACAAAUGUGUCAGUAACUAUGCACGUCUUGACGUUACCUAAUCAGAAAGCUACGGCUAACUACGUG